GAUGAACGCUAGCGGCAGGCCUAAUACAUGCAAGUCGAACGGGAUCUGAGGGUAGCUUGCUACCCGAUUUGAGAGUGGCGCACGGGUGCGUAACGCGUGAGCAACCUACCCAUAUCAGGGGGAUAGCCCGAAGAAAUUCGGAUUAACACCGCAUAAUAAUACGCUAACGCAUGUUGAUGUAUUUAAAUAUUUAUAGGAUAUGGAUGGGCUCGCGUGACAUUAGCUAGUUGGUAAGGUAACGGCUUACCAAGGCGACGAUGUCUAGGGGCUCUGAGAGGAGAAUCCCCCACACUGGUACUGAGACACGGACCAGACUCCUACGGGAGGCAGCAGUAAGGAAUAUUGGUCAAUGGGCGCAAGCCUGAACCAGCCAUGCCGCGUGCAGGAUGACUGCCCUAUGGGUUGUAAACUGCUUUUGUUAGGGAAUAAACCUUCUUACGUGUAAGGAGCUGAAUGUACCUAAAGAAUAAGGAUCGGCUAACUCCGUGCCAGCCGCCGCCGUAA
rnacentral:rRNA from 1 species